AGAUUUUGGGUUGGCUAAACUCUUUCCAGAUAACAUCACUCAUAUUAGCACAAGAGUGGCAGGGGAAAAAGGGUAUUUUGCACCCGAGGAUGCACUGGGGGGGGCGGUUACCCAGAAAGGGGAUGUGGNNNNNNNGUGUAUAGUUUUGGGGUGCUUAUCCUUGAAAUAAUUAGUGGCAAAAGCAGUACAAAGGCCAGCUGGGGAGAAAUGCAAAAGCUCCUCCUAGAAUGGGCAUGGCAGCUUCAUGAAGAGGGGAAACUCUUAGAACUAGUAGAUCC
rnacentral:misc_RNA from 1 species